CGCCUGUUUAUCAAAAACAUAACCGUGUGUACUUUAUGCACGGCAAUUUCUGCUCCAUGAGACAUUAAAUAGCCGCAGUACACUGACUGUGCAAAGGUAGCAUAAUCAUUUGGCUUAUAAUUGAAGUCUGGUAUGAACGAAUAUAUGGUCGGGGACUGUCUUCCUGGAACACCUUAAACUUACUUAAUAGGUGAAAAUGCCUAUAAAAUUUAAAUAGACGAGAAGACCCUAGAAAUUUUAUCCAAAGGGUGUGAUACACUGCACGUUUUUGUUGGGGCGACAAAAUAACAACGAACUUAUUGUUGUAGAUUUGAACUAAAUGUUGUGUAAAUGUAAAUUACUCUAGGGAUAACAGCAUAAUUUAAGAGAGCUUGUGACCUCGAUGUUGGACUAGGGACCCUACUGCCCAGAAGGUAGUCGGGCAUGUUCUGUUCGAACAUUCUUCCCCUACGUGAUCUGAGUUCAGACCGG
rnacentral:rRNA from 1 species